AGUGAACGCUGGCGGUAGGCCUAACACAUGCAAGUCGAACGGCAGCACAGUAAGAGCUUGCUCUUACGGGUGGCGAGUGGCGGACGGGUGAGGAAUACAUCGGAAUCUACUUUUUCGUGGGGGAUAACGUAGGGAAACUUACGCUAAUACCGCAUACGACCUACGGGUGAAAGCAGGGGAUCUUCGGACCUGGCGCGGUUGAAUGAGCCGAUGUCGGAUUAGCUAGUUGGCGGGGUACAGGCCAACCAAGGCGACGAUCCGUAGCUGGUCUGGGGGGAGGUUCAGCCACACUGGAGCUGACACGCGGCCCAGGCUCUGACGGGCGGCCCCAGCGGGUAAUGUGGGCAAAUGGGCGCAAGCCUGCUCCAGCCAUGCCGCGCGGGUGAAGCAGGCCUGCGGGUUGUAAGGCCCUUUUCUUGUGAAAGACCACUAGCAGCUUAAACCCCCCCUGUUCGGCCGUAACCCAUAGAAUAGCCCCGGCCAACUUCGUG
rnacentral:rRNA from 1 species